rnacentral:lncRNA from 1 species
ACCAUUGGAGCUGAAAGAUUCCGUUGCCCAGAAGUUCUGUUUCAGCCAUCUCUCAUCGGAAUGGAAGCUGCUGGUAUUCAUGAGACUACCUACAACUCCAUCAUGAAGUGUGAUGUGGAUAUUAGAAAGGAUCUGUAUGGUAACAUUGUUCUCAGUGGGGGUUCAACUAUGUUCCCUGGUAUUGCCGACCGUAUGAGCAAGGAAAUCACAGCACUUGCUCCAAGCAGCAUGAAGAUCAAGGUCGUGGCUCCACCAGAGAGAAAAUACAGUGUUUGGAUUGGAGGAUCAAUCCUUGCAUCCCUCAGCACCUUCCAGCAGGUGAGAAAUUAAUUACCAUUCAAUUUCUGUUGGCAUUCCUGUUUUAUUUACACUUCUUCAAAGUCUUGACAUAAAUUCUUUGUAUCGUUAACAGAUGUGGAUCUCAAAGGGCGAGUAUGAUGAGUCUGGUCCAUCCAUUGUCCACAGGAAAUGCUUCUAAGUUCUUUAAGUGCUUGAUGGGUGAGUUCUUUUUUUCCAUUUAGUUGGUUUUUGUGUCUCGUUUCGCGAACUCAAGUUGGUUGACAUGGAGAAGUGCUAAGGUUGGGGCCAUUGAAGGAGGCAUAUCUCGAUAUUGAUGUUAUUAUACAAGCUUCUUACAGCGUUUGAGGGGGGCUUAUUUCUGUACUCAACCGUCUUCCUUGCCUUGCAUUCAUCUGGUGUUCAACCAAGUCUUUUUUCUUUUUUUUCCUUUUUUUUAUUUUAAGUAGGAUGUUUGUAGCUGGAGAUGAAGAGUGGUUGUGAUGCUUUUCUAUUUCAUUUUCUAAAUUUUCAUAUUUGAAGGUUUUUUUUCUCCCCCUCUCAAAAGGAACAUUAAU